GAUGAAGAACGUAGUGAAAUGCGAUAAGUAAUGUGAAUUGCAGAAUUCAGUGAAUCAUCGAAUCUUUGCACGCACAUUGCGCCCGCCAGUAUUCUGGCGGGCAUGCCUGUUCGAGCGUCAUUUCAACCAUCAAGCCCCCGGCUUGUGUUGGGGACCUGCGGCUGCCGCAGGCCCUGAAAUGCAGUGGCGGGCUCGCUGUCACUCCGAGCGUAGUAGUUACAUCUCGCUCUGGGCGUGCUGCGGGUUCCGGCCGUUAACAGCCUUAUUUACCCAAGGUUGACCUCGGAUCAGGUAGGAAGACCCGCUGAACUUAAGCAUAUCAAUAAGCGGAGGA
rnacentral:misc_RNA from 1 species